rnacentral:rRNA from 1 species
UAGAGGGGGCAAGCGUUGUUCGGAAUUACUGGGCGUAAAGGGCGCGUAGGCGGCCCGCUAAGUCGAACGUGAAAUCCCCGAGCUCAACUCGGGAACUGCGUCCGAUACUGGUGGGCUUGAAUCCGGGAGAGGGAUGUGGAAUUCCCGGUGUAGCGGUGAAAUGCGUAGAGAUCGGGAGGAAGGCCGGUGGCGAAGGCGGCGCUCUGGAACGGCCCUGACACUGAGGCUCGAAAGCGUGGGGAGCAAACAGG